AGCUCUUGUUAAGUUCACUUCAAAUAGCAUUGAAUUUUUUUGUGAACCUGCCUUCAUCAUGCUGGUUAAGGAAGUUAUGUUAUGGAUCUAAGCUUUGUAGGACUAUGUGUUACAAGAUACCUUUGAAAGAUCUUCUUCACUACAUGGAACCCCAGAGUUCAUUAAUGUUGGAGAUUUUGGGAAAUUAAUUUCUCAGUAAUGUGUCUUAAGUUACAAAAUAUGAAGUGUCUUACUUGUGGAACAUUGGUAGACUAUGA
rnacentral:lncRNA from 1 species